rnacentral:rRNA from 1 species
CCUACGGGAGGCAGCAGUGAGGAAUAUUGGUCAAUGGACGAGAGUCUGAACCAGCCAAGCAGCGUGAAGGAUGACUGCUCUAUGGGUUGUAAACUUCUUUUAUAAAGGAAUAAAACGAGGUACGUGUGCCUUUUUGCAUGUACUUUAUGAAUAAGGAUCGGCUAACUCCGUGCCAGCAGCCGCGGUAAUACGGAGGAUCCGAGCGUUAUCCGGAUUUAUUGGGUUUAAAGGGAGCGUAGAUGGGUUGUUAAGUCAGUUGUGAAAGUUUGCGGCUCAACCGUAAAAUUGCACUUGAUACUGGCAGUCUUGAGUACAGUUGGGGUAGGCGGAAUUCGUGGUGUAGCGGUGAAAUGCUUAGAGAUCACGAAGAACCCCGAUUGCGAAGGCAGCUUACUAAACUGUGACUGACAUUGAUGCUCGAAAGUGUGGGGAGCAAACAGGAUUAGAUACCCCAGUAGUC